UGCACAAUUACAGCAAGAGCAGGAGCUGUAACAACAGGCAGACACAAUGCAGGGCAGCUCCCCAGACACUGACACCUAAAGAAUGCAGUGUUUGUGCUUCACCUUUACCUGCUGAAGACAGAAUAAUAGAGUUGGGAUCUUCAAUUCUGUGGAAAGACAAUGGGACGGGGACAUGACUUAGAGUGAACUUCCUGGGAGAGGGUGUGCCCAGAAGCUCCGUCCUUUUGCAAGAAGUAACCGCCCAUGAAUUUCCACAAAAUGGAAGCGCUUCCGGGCAUAUUCUCUCCCCCAAUCUUCUAAUCAGGGGAGAGGAUGUACCUAGAAUGUCCACCAUUUUGCGGAAGUUCACCGGGGGAGGGGUUGUGUCCCUGUCCUGUUGUCCACAGAGAAGCAGACAAAGAACAAAGACUUUUUGGAGCAACGGAAUAAG